UUAACUUUAGGUUUUCACCACAAGUGUUUCGUGUUUAAUAUUUAAAACUUGAAAAUAUGAUAGACUUUUUUUUUACAUAAAUAAUUUGUAAAACAAUUGUUAUUUCUUUACUUUAAUAGACUGGAAUUGUUGAAGGAAAUCCACUUUUGUCACUGAAGUGUGCCUGUCGGCGAAGUAGCCGAAUCCUCUAUCCAACCCGCUGAAAUGCAAAAGCAAAUAUUAUUAUAGCGUUUUAAACAUCCUUUUAUACACCCCAAACAUAUGGCAGCUUCAACACAACAUCUGUUUACUGCCAUUGGAAUUAGCAUCAGAAUAUCUACCGCUAGAACAAGUGCUUUUCUGCAUGAGCAGACAAGACAAAAGUCUAAUGCGGAGAGAUCAGCACGAGCACACGACGUUCUGAAAGGACGUGGCACGACGCGGGCAGAUGUCCUGAAUCUCCUGCGGUUCCAGGGUGAAUGAUUACAGUAACUGGACACAUUAAAGGAGUCCUGGUCCUUUACAUCUUCAGAUUACAGUAAGUGGACACAUUAAAGGUGUCCUGGUCCUUCACAUCUUCAGAUUACAAACUGAAAGACGACAACCACGUGGUGGUAGAACACGUCUGUUUCCAGACCAACAGGAGGCUGCCAUUGUGCUUAUGGUAGAUGAAAAUAAUGCCAUAAGACUGUGGGAAAUUUAAAAAUUCAAUUUAUCGAAGACGAGGAAGAGGGGAAGGAACAUCAUUGGUCAACGGGCCAUCACUGAGGUACCUGGCCAGCGCAGGUACCACCCUUGGACCAUACAACACUACCCAUCUCCUUAAUUUCCUGAACACCUUACAUGACAAUC
rnacentral:lncRNA from 1 species